rnacentral:misc_RNA from 1 species
UCCGAGUUGACCCCGGCAGUCUCCUAUGAGUCCCCACCAUCACGUGCUGGCAACAUAGAACGAGGGUUGCGCUCGUUGCGGGACUUAACCCAACAUCUCACGACACGAGCUGACGACAACCAUGCACCACCUGUGCACGACCCUAAAAGGACCUGCCAUCUCUGACAGAUUUCCGUGCAUGUCAAGCCUAGGUAAGGCUCUUCGCGUUGCAUCGAAUUAAGCCACAUGCUCCACCGCUUGUGCGGGCCCCCGCCAAUUCCUUUGAGUUUCAACCUUGCGGCCGUAGUCCCCAGGCGGUUCACUUAAUGCGUUAGCUGCGGCACGGGAGGAGUCGACACCUCCCACACCUAGUGCCCAUCGUUUACGGCGUGGACUAC